AACGCGAAGAACCUUACCUGGGCUUGAACCGCACAGGACCAUCUUUGGAAACAGAGACUUCCCGCAAGGGACCUGUGUAGAGGUGCUGCAUGGCUGUCGUCAGCUCGUGCCGUGAGGUGUUGGGUUAAGUCCCGCAACGAGCGCAACCCUUACUCAUAGUUGCUACCCGCAAGGGAGAACUCUAUGAGGACUGCUCCGGAUAACGGAGAGGAAGGUGGGGAUGAGGUCAAGUCAGCAUGGCCUUUAUGUCCAGGGCUACACACGUGUUACAAUGCGCACCACAAAGCGUCGCAAACCCGCGAGGGGGAGCUAAUCGCAAAAAAGUGCGCUCAGUUCGGAUUGCAGUCUGCAACUCGACUGCAUGAAGCUGGAAUCGCUAGUAAUGGCGCAUCAGAACGGCGCCGUGAAUACGUUCCCGGGCCUUGUA
rnacentral:rRNA from 1 species